UACGUAGGUGGCAAGCGUUGUCCGGAUUUACUGGGUGUAAAGGGCGUGCAGCCGGAGAGACAAGUCAGAUGUGAAAUCCACGGGCUCAACCCGUGAACCGCAUUUGAAACUGUUUCCCUUGAGUGUCGGAGAGGUAAUCGGAAUUCCUUGUGUAGCGGUGAAAUGCGUAGAUAUAAGGAAGAACACCAGUGGCGAAGGCGGAUUACUGGACGAUAACUGACGGUGAGGCGCGAAAGCGUGGGGAGCAAACAGG
rnacentral:rRNA from 1 species